AAGGUAAAAUACAGCCAAAAGCGACUGGGGGCCAGGAGGUUCCCGCUGCCAGCCAACAAGCGGCGACCAGGCAGCGCGUGGCGCAGGCAAAGCUGCGAGCCCAGAGGCUCUCUCCAAGGUAUCCGGGGCCCGUUUAACGGCAUCCAGCACGGCAACGCAGCCCUCCUCCGCCCCAGGCCCGGCGCGGAGCGCUCCGGACGGCACUUCUUCCCCGCCAGGCGCGGCAAGCCCCGCCACCGCUCCCGGGGCCGAGGCCAGAGGGUCCCGCUGCGGCCGGCCCGCGGCAGCGCUGCCGCCGAGACAACGCGGGCAGGGCGGACACGUCCCGCGGCCUGCCCGCCCGCCCGAGCGGCGCCUGAGCAGGGCACCCGCCUCCCCACAAGCCUCCGCGCCCCCCUCCCCGCCGGCGCUAACGCGGCUCGCGGUCCCGGCACCGCCGCGCCGGCACCGCCUGCCGCCGCCCCGCCGAGCACUCACGUCUCCUGGCGGCUGCGGCCGGGGGAGGUUUCGCGGCUGCCCGGGAGCGGGAAGGACGGGCCGGCUCCGGCCGCUGCUGGCUGCGCCGCCGCCGGCUCUGCGGACACCGAACGCCUCAGCCUCUCCGCUCCAACGGUCCCCGGCCGCCUCGCGGCGCCUGGCCAAUCCGAGAACGCCUCCGCAGGGGCGCGCGCACCCCCACCAAUCCGAGCCCGCGCCCGCCCGGCCCCCUCCGCGGCCGUUAGCCAAUCCACAGGCAAGCUUGCCAGCCCCGCCCUCCUCCCUCCCGCACGGCGCUACCUGGGAGCCAAUCACGCGGCGGACCCUUCCUUCGCGGCGGACGUGCGUGCGCUUACCCGCGCGCUUCCCACCCCCCCUUUCCCUUCAGCCAAUCAGCAGCCGCGGCCGCACGCCUGCGGAGCGCGCUCUCCUUGCGCCAACGGGCCUCUUGGAGCGCUCGUGGUCUCCAGCCAAUCAGCAGCCCGCGCCGCCUCGCGCGCUCGCGUUCUGGGGCGCAACGGCCUCGGCUGUGCGCCAGCGCGCGCCCCCUCAGCGCGGGGGGCGGGCGGGGGGUGCGCGCGCCGGCACCGCGCAGGCGGCCCCGCCCUGCCCCCGGGCUCCCCUGACAGGACCCGCGUCCGCCGCCGCGGGGGUUGGGGGGGGCUGGUGCCUCUAGGGCUGCGUGGGGCGGGGAGCAGUGUGCGGGAUCCUCCGCUCUCUGCUAGAGAGGUGUCGCUCUCCCUUGGCUUGUCUUGCUGUCAACGUACUUUCAGCGGAGGGGACCGGGGCGGCGAGGGCAGCUUUGUCAGGGAAACGUGCGCUUCAAGGAUGUGCCGCCCGUUGGCCGGGAGAGUCUUCUGA
rnacentral:lncRNA from 1 species